rnacentral:rRNA from 1 species
GACGAACGCUGGCGGCGUGCUUAACACAUGCAAGUCGAACGGAAAGGCCCUGCUUUUGUGGGGUGCUCGAGUGGCGAACGGGUGAGUAACACGUGAGUAACCUGCACUUGACUUUGGGAUAACUUCAGGAAACUGGGGCUAAUACCGGAUAGGAUCUCCUGCUGCAUGGGGGGGGUUGGAAAGUUUCGGCGGUUGGGGCUGGACUCGCGGCUUAUCAGCUUGUUGGUGGGGUAGUGGCUUACCAAGGCUUUGACGGGUAGCCGACCUGAGAGGGGGGCCGGGGACCAUGGGCCUAAGAGAGGGAGCAGUCGGGUAUGGGAGGCAAUAGGGGGGAACAUGGCAGAACGGGGCGAAGCGAGAGACGGAGGUGUUGCGAGCGGGAAGCUGUCCUACGAGUGGUAAACAGAUGUCUAAGGUGCCGUAGCGGGAGUGACGGUAAUGAAUCAAAAAGCACCGGCUAACUACGUG